rnacentral:rRNA from 1 species
AGAACGAACGCUGGCGGCAGGCCUAAAACAUGCAAGUCGAACGCUCUAGCAAUAGAGAGUGGCGCACGGGUGCGUAACAUGUGGGAAUAUGCCUUUUGGUACGGAACAACUUUUGGAAACGAAAGCUAAUACCGUAUGGUCCCUUCGGGGUAAAGAUUUAUCGCCAAAAGAGUAGCCCGCACUGGAUUAGCUAGUUGGUAAGGUAAUGGCUUACCAAGGCGACGAUCCAUAGCUGGUCUGAGAGGACGAUCAGCCACACUGGGACUGAGACACGGCCCAGACUCCUACGGGAGGCAGCAGUUAGGAAUCUUGGACAAUGGGCGCAAGCCUGAUCCAGCCAUGCCGCGUGAGUGAUGAAGGCCUUCGGGUUGUAAAGCUCUUUAGUCCACGAAUAUAAUGACUGUAGUGGAAGAAUAAGCCCCGGCUAACUUCGCGCCAGCAGCCGC